rnacentral:rRNA from 1 species
GACGAACGCUGGCGGCGUGCUUAACACAUGCAAGUCGAACGGAAAGGCCCUGCUUUUGUGGGGUGCUCGAGUGGCGAACGGGUGAGUAACACGUGAGUAACCUGCCCUUGACUUUGGGAUAACUUCAGGAAACUGGGGCUAAUACCGGAUAGGAGCUCCUGCUGCAUGGUGGGGGUUGGAAAGUUUCGGCGGUUGGGGAUGGACUCGCGGCUUAUCAGCUUGUUGGUGGGGUAGUGGCUUACCAAGGCUUUGACGGGUAGCCGGCCUGAGAGGGUGACCGGCCACAUUGGGACUGAGAUACGGCCCAGACUCCUACGGGAGGCAGCAGUGGGGAAUAUUGCACAAUGGGCGGAAGCCUGAUGCAGCAACGCCGCGUGCGGGAUGACGGCCUUCGGGUUGUAAACCGCUUUCGCCUGUGACGAAGCGUGAGUGACGGUAAUGGGUAAAGAAGCACCGGCUAACUACGUGCCAGCAGCCGCGGUGAUACGUAGGGUGCGAGCGUUGUCCGGAUUUAUUGGGCGUAAAGGGCUCGUAGGUGGUUGAUCGCGUCGGAAGUGUAAUCUUGGGGCUUAACCCUGAGCGUGCUUUCGAUACGGGUUGACUUGAGGAAGGUAGGGGAGAAUGGAAUUCCUGGUGGAGCGGUGGAAUGCGCAGAUAUCAGGAGGAACACCAGUGGCGAAGGCGGUUCUCUGGGCCUUUCCUGACGCUGAGGAGCGAAAGCGUGGGGAGCGAACAGGCUUAGAUACCCUGGUAGUCCACGCUGUAAACGGUGGGUACUAGGUGUGGGGUCCAUUCCACGGGUUCCGUGCCGUAGCUAACGCUUUAGGUACCCCGCCUGGGGAGUACGGCCGCAAGGCUAAAACUCAAAGGAAUUGACGGGGCCCCGCACAAGCGGCGGAGCAUGCGGAUUAAUUCGAUGCAACGCGUAGAACCUUACCUGGGUUUGACAUGGAUCGGGAGUGCUCAGAGAUGGGUGUGCCUCUUUUGGGGUCGGUUCACAGGUGGUGCAUGGCUGUCGUCAGCUCGUGUCGUGAGAUGUUGGGUUAAGUCCCGCAACGAGCGCAACCCUUGUUCACUGUUGCCAGCACGUUAUGGUGGGGACUCAGUGGAGACCGCCGGGGUCAACUCGGAGGAAGGUGGGGAUGACGUCAAGUCAUCAUGCCCCUUAUGUCCAGGGCUUCACGCAUGCUACAAUGGCUGGUACAGAGAGUGGCGAGCCUGUGAGGGUGAGCGAAUCUCGGAAAGCCGGUCUCAGUUCGGAUUAGGGUCUGCAACUCGACCUCAUGAAGUCGGAGUCGCUAGUAAUCGCAGAUCAGCAACGCUGCGGUGAAUACGUUCCCGGGGCU